GGGGGUGUAGCUCAGUGGUAGAGUGCAUGCUUAGCAUGCACGACACCCUGGUUUCGAACUCCAGCACCUCCA